rnacentral:lncRNA from 1 species
UAUCAGCUGUUAUCGUAGUCAUACAUCGUGAGAAACAAGAUUACAACACAUUUGCUUUACAACUCUUGAUUAACAAGCUUAUUACAUUGUUUUUCUAGCGGAAACACACGCGAGUCUUUAUCAGAGUCGAUGUAGCGCGACAGCGGUGAAGGCUCCUCCUUCACGGACAAUCAUCAGAGUCGGCGUAGUUUAUCAGCGGGCGCAGCCUUCAUCUCUGAACCAAACUUGAGCGCAGGAACGAGACCACCUAAUCCUUCUAUUCUCCGUAGUUAUCGUCAUAGAUCACGUUCAAAACCUGCUAAACAAUUUUCAGUACGAUUUGUACUGGCCACUGGCUCCCACCCUAUGCUUUUGCGUAAGCUUUGUGGUAAGUGGAAUGCAAAAGGGUAGAUCAAGAGGCCUAUAUAUGGUUGUAGUUUUUCCUAUGCAAGUUCAUCAAUAUUUUAAUAAAAAUAAUUCAUCAAGUUUUAAUCCAUCUCAACCACACGUCCAUCCAUCCAUCCCAUCACACGCAUCUCACCACACUCUCACUCUCUAGGCGGCAAGUACGACUCCCGCUCGUGCCUUGCCUCAACGGCCAACGCCGGAUCCAACACAAACCCAGGGGAAGGUAGAAAGGACUCCUCUCACUAGUCAAGCGAAGCGGAACAUAGGAAAGGUCCAUAGCCGAGAAGACGGCAUAUGUAUCGAUCGAUCAACCAAACUCUGCAGAGGUUUACACUAACCACAAGAUCACCAUCAUCGACGAACCGGCUCGUCUAGGCUGAUACCGGGCUGCCUUCCAACUAAAUACGAUGCCACCCUACCACUCAGGACUGGGGCCAUACCGGAGUACCACCGGCAUGCUGAGACUGUGAGGCGUAGUACCGGGCCCCCAAAGGUCACUACGCUGUCUUAGGAGGGUGUGGGUCCUCAUGCCCGUACCUCCCUACACUAUCCGCUAUCAACCUAGUAGUAGUGGCACCGCACUAGCUGGUCGUACAUCCGUCCCGCACCAUAAUAAGGCGAGUGGCGUGUAAGGCUUCCUACGAACCGGUUCUCAGAACAUCUCAGUCCUUAGGGUAACCGAACAGGACAUCUUCACGAGGGGCCAGCCGAUGCCCCUCUCGACGGGACACCCGGCUACCCCGUGCUAUACAGCACCUCCCAUCCCGGUGCUUCGUCCCACGAAGACACUCCACUCCGGGACCUCUCCCUGUCACAUGUACCCGCCACAGGUAUCUCUCAUGGAGAACGCCCAGGUAGCAUUCCCCGGCAAGACUUGUCCCAAGACUCGUCGUAAAUCCUGCUCGGUCGACUCGACCCUCACCACACACCCAAGACACACGCCAAGAUCUCCCCAUAUCCAUUAUCCAUUUCUUAACCAGUUAUCGGCACACGUGCCUUAUCCACUCACAUCCAAUCCUUCACAAUGCAUCACAUCACAGAUAUAAUGCGUAGUAGAAGCAGUAGCAAGUAGUAUGCAAGCAUCUAUCCUAACAGCGGGUGUGCGAGGGUUAUAGGUUGCAACAAGGCAAUGGCUCACAAGCAUUUCUACCAUGCAACCUAUCUCAGUUCAUUUGCAUAAAAGUAAAGCACUAGCAUCUACAUUAUUGCAUGUCUAAUAGGAUUCUACGAGGUUGGGUGGGACGUGGCACCUGUCGAGUGACAUUUCCAGGAUCCUCAGUUCACUUGUAGUUGUACUCAUCCAAGGUCUUUCUCCUAUCUGCAUGUCCUUCCUUCGACUGGUUCCGACUCGAUCAACGCUAACCCCGAAGCGACUACCUCGUAAGCGACAAUCAAGGCGAAACAAUCAAACCACUAGACCUCGAGAGACUGCGAAAAGAGACAAAGAACACUGAAGAACAACUACACUAAAGAGUACCGAAAGGAUAAUGACUUAGCCCUCUCGGUGGAUGCCCGAUCCCUGGGCUAAAGAAAUGAGAAUGGUUGUUUACUAAGUACAAGCUGGAGUCUUCGCCUAGCCGUUACUUCCCGGGUCGAUCGUGUCGACCUGCACGGCUUUAAUAAUAAAGGUGUAGACUCUAACUCAUUUUAAGUAAACACCAUGGCUUACGAACUUUCGAUCCAAGCGUCAUAGAGAUUGACGAGAACCAAACGGUUGUAAGCACAAGAACUCUGUUCUCUCUCAACCCGUACGCCAUUAUGAUUGGCGAGAGUCAAGAGAGGGUGAAACAAAGAGAGAAGAAAAGGGGAGUGGUCUACUCCUUCCAGUCCACUCGCCACGGUAAGAGACGAGGAAUUAGAAAGAGUGACGCACAAAGAAAAAAAGAGUGCUCAAGCUACUUAUAGGGUACCACGACCUAGGUACACUGAAUGCACUAAGACAUUCCUCGGGUCCAUAGCAGUGCGGUUGUCACCGCGAGAACCAAAGAAAUGCUACGGUCGAAUAGGUACAAGCAUACAAGAGUUUAAGCACGAAGAACCCAAAAGGCAAGAAAGGACACGGGUUUUACUUUCCAUUGAUCCGCUCGCCAUAACAACGACGGGAGUCACGGGAUUGGAAACAAAACAUCAAACAAAUAAAAGGGGCUCAAUCCACAUCUUACUGGAUCGAUGGGGAUUAAUAUCAAGAGAAGAAGAAUGGAGUUCAUACUCUUUCGACCAACUCAUCAUGGGACAACGACAGUUGGGUAAAAGGAAUACGACCCCACGAUCUAUUCCAACUUAUAACACUUUACGACCUAGGUGCUUCUGAAUCGGCACAAGGUCAUUCCUAUAGUUCCAGACGAUGCGGUUGUCAUCGCGGGAACUAGGGAAAUGCCCGGGUCUAGGUGGCAUAAGCAUACGAGACAGAUAAGAUAAUCGUGCGAGAAAAAUAGUUAAAGCCCGAUGGUCAUGGCGAGGCAAACUCGCGUCCAUGAGCUUCACCUAACGAGUUGGCUUCCGACUGUCCCACAAAGGUUGCCCCCUAAUUCGUAUCCCACUAGACAAGAUCAUGAAGGUCUCGAAUGGUGCGGUUAAGAUCCGCGUCGAUAACGACAUCGAGUCCACGAUGACCAUGUCCGAGGGACGGAAAUAGGAGCUAACGACCGUAGCGCAACGAAGUCAACUAAACACAGGGAAUGAGUUACGCUCGGCAUCGCGAUCACGGCGGGACGAACCCACGAUCGAAAUGAUCGAACACACUACCAUUUCCCUAACCGGCUCGAAGGCUCGGUCCUCAGGCAACGACAAACACAUAAAGAAUCACGACUCGAUCAAAGACAACACAAGGGACACGAUGACAACUCGGAGUAGCACAUUUCCAUAGCACGAGAGAUAGAUAGAUAAAUAAUUAGACCGGCAUGAAGGCACGGCACAGGCAAUGAUAUAGGCGAAGAUAGGUCGUGCUACAAGUAUAGAUAAUUCAUGAUAAGGACAUACGAUAGAUAACAAAAUGAUGUAUGAAUAGAUAUGAAUUAAUAUGGAGUUCCAACGUCGACUAGGGUUUAGGGGGGGUUUUCGACCUUGACGAACAUGAGGAAGGUGGCGGAGACCUGCUGCUGCCACUCUGAUCCGGCUAUGAUCUGCCGCUGACCAGCUGUGGCUUGCUGCGGCUGGUUGGAAGCGGUUGCGGCUUGCUGCAGCGAGUCCAGGGGUUAGCCGAGGGCAGCAGUGUGGUCCAGCCAUGCGGCAAUGGUGCCCCAAGGGCACAUCCUCCCUGCAAGGUGUAGAACACGGCACGAAGGCCGAUCUCAGCAUGGUGAACGCAGGAAGGGGAAAACUUUGGUCUUGGCGAGCUCACCGGGGUUUGGCUUGGCGAAGACAGGGACAAGAGCUUGACGCGGUGACCGUGGCGAGGACGGGGACGCGUCGGGGCCCGACGUCGCGCUCGGUGGUCGCGGCUCCUGAGCGCGGACGUGGACGCCACGGGCUUCAGGUCGGCCGUGGCCGGAGCUGGCGUCGCGGGGCACCGAGGCGGCUCGGCAGUGCUGUGGCGCCCGCGUGGCCAGCCGUGGUCGAAGCUCGACGCGGCGAGGGCAGCGUCGCGGCUGGCCACGGCUCGGCGAAGGUGGCUUCUGGGCGUCAUGUCAGCCGUCGAAGCAAGGGCGCCGUCGUCUCGGGCUCUCGGUGGCGCAGUGGGUGCUCGUCGCGGACAACUCAAGCGCCUGCGUCCCGGUGCGGCCGUGGCAUCCGCGUGGCCGUCCGCGGUCGCGAGUCCGCACGACGCCGCGGUCGCGGAGGACGCCGGGGCCUCGGUGGCGUCCAGGCUUGACGUGAAGGCGUUGUCGCGGCGCCGGUCAUGGAGGACAAGGCGGAGGGCGGCGGCGCUGGGUGGAGGGAACAGAGGACUGCGGCGGCGCCACUAGGGAAGAGCUCGAGGGCGUGGCGGCGGCUGGGCUCUUUAUAGGCGUCGAGGCUAGGGCUUCAGAGUGGAGGCGUUCAUCCUCGGCGUCCGUGUCCACAGCGGGACACGCGGCGCGCAUCGGCACGAACGCCGAGGUGGAGGGGGCAGGCGUGGGCGCGGGGGGGCGGUUCUGCCCACUCUGGGCGGCGGCGGCGGCGGCCUGGGCGAGCUGGGCGCGAGCGCGCGUGGCAGGCUUAGGGUUAGGGGGGGUCGCGCGGUGGGAAAGGCCAGGGAGGGGCGCUGCCUCCCUCGUGGGCCACGGCCUGGCUUGGCGACUUGGGCCGGAGGAGGAGCUGGGCCGUGCGCGCGGGUUGGGCCGGGGCAAGGCGCGCGUGGGAGCUGGGCCGCGGGGAGGGGAAGGGUGCUGGGAUGGUUGGGCUAAAUGCGCGAGGUGGGCCGUGUGUGGGCGCCUGUGCGGCUGGGCCAAAGGCCAAGGAGGGGAGCUCAAGAGAAGGGAGUGAUUUCCUAUUUUGCUAAAUGAUGGAAAGAGGAUUUUCUACCCUUUGCUAAAAUGGUUGAGAGGAAAAGGAAAAGUGAUUGAGAUGAGUUGCCAAAAUUCAAGAUAGAUUUGCUGGCGGAGAUUUAAGAUAAGAUCAAAGAGAGAGAGAAGGGAAUUUCAGGGAGAGUUCAAAAGGAUCAAAAGGAGUUUGAGACGUACUCCAACGAAAAGGUUGAGAAGGGAUCCGCUUCGCCUUUGAGAUAGGCUCAACGAAAAUUCGGGAAGGCUUUGCUACGGAUUUGUGCACUCUAAAAGAAACUCAAAACCCUAACAAGAUCCAACUUAAGACGACCCGUCUACAAACAAAUCUAUAUGUAUGCCACGAUUUGUUAGCGGGUUAGGAUCGAGUUUGACCUAAAUACUAUAUGAUUCACAUGAUUACAGGAAAAAAAAUUUUAAAAAAAACUCGUAUUUUUGGUUUUCGUGAAAAUCUGGGAUGUUACAGUCCACCCUCCUUACAGGAAUCUCGUCCCCGAGAUUUAGGCGUUGCUCGGUCGGUGAAGAAACGCGGGUGUCGUUCCCAAAGCUUUUCUUACUUCUGAGUUGUUUUGCUAUCAGAAAGAUGGCUCCACAAACCUUUUCCAUGUGGGGGCGAGUCAUGUUCAGGAUGUAUCCAAGGCUCACUCGCUGGUGUUGGGUAUCCAAAUUCUCACAAUAAGGCGAUGGGUAUCCAAGAAUCGCACCAGGUUGAUGAACAUCUGGCUCUCUAGGAGUGCAUGGCAGGCUUAAACAUAGCUAGGGUUGUUGGCUUUCACCAGCAGUUUUUCAUGCAUCACUCUUUGCAAAAAGCUUUUGAAAGGAAUGUUUUUCGGAAAAAACAGGUUUCAUAAAUGGAGUGAAAGCGAUUUUACAAAGUCAAUUUUUUUUUUUGAGACUUCAAAAUGAAGAGAGCUUUUGCAGAGGGUUGAAUUCAAUACAAGUUUUGAGAACCAAAUAUUUUGAAGGUUUUAUUAUAAAAGAUUUCAAAUCAAAAGAUUUUAAAAUUCUUUCAUUUUAUUAUUACUAUUUUCUUUAAAACAAGGUAUUGCUCCCUUUUUAUUAGAGUCAAACAAAUUAGUUUUGAAAAUAACAAGAAAUCAUUUCGCAUUUUGAAAGUUAGAGCCUUCACAACCAAAACAUUUUUGAAACUUGAAAGUCCAUUUCGUUCUUUUUUUUGAAAGGUUGCUAAACAAAAACUUUUCACAAUGGUUUUUGUUUAAUAAAUCACUGGGAAUUCCUUUUUCUUUUAAGGCAAGGUUGAAUUUUAAAAGGAAUUUGGCUCUUGAGAUAAAAUCAAAGACAUUUAAAACAAAACUGAGCCAAAGAUCUUUGGUUUGAAAACCACUUUGUUGGUUGAAGGUAGAACUUUUGAUUUUCAGAAAGAGGAUUGGUAACACCUUUUGAAGAUAACUUGUUUUUAAACCGUUUCAUAAAUAGAGUUUGAGUUGAGAAAGGGGGGUUAAAAUUGCUUUAUUUGUGAAAAGGGAAGAAUAUUGAGAGAGUUUUGAAACACUUUUCCUUUUGAAACCAAGAUGUUUUGUAAAAGAGAUAAACUUUUUCAACCAAAAAGGAGAGAAACUUUUUCAACAAAAGGGCAAUUUUGAAGACAAGUUUAGUUGGAAGCCAAAAACAGUUUUGAAAUAGAUGGGCAAGACAUGAUGCAUCAGCUUUAAACCCUUUUUCGGCUCUGUUAGCCAGGGUCACUUAUCUAGUUUCGGGACAGUCUUAGGUUUAGCCAGCUAGAUUGGACGGGAUCCAGAGUCUUUCUCGCAUAAAACAAGUUCUAUGACUUACACUCAGACAUCAAGAAGCAGAAGAAACGCAACAACAUAAGAUCCAAGCACUCAAACAGCAUUACAACUCCUAAUGCAUAGUGUUGACUUGAGGCGACUCACAGACCUUCAAAGUCUCACACAACUAUCGAUCUAGCGUGGGCGGGUAUGGGAAAAGAUUCCAACGGUCAACUUUAUGAAACAGGGAGGUCAGUUAGCAGCAGAAUUCAAGGCGAAGGGGGGAAAACAAGUGUUAGCAUCUAUAACUCUACAAAAGAUAGAAUGUUUGGCUUCUAAACUAGUAUUUGGUCCUAAAGGUCUCGUCCUAGGGUCAAGUAUGGCUCUGAUACCAACUGAAACGACCCAGAUUUUUCCACAAAGGGAAAAAUCCACAGAUUCGAAUUAUAAUGUGAUAAUUCAAAAAUUGAACCAUCGCAUUAUCAUAUAUCAGCUGUUAUCGUAGUCAUACAUCGUGAGAAACAAGAUUACAACACAUUUGCUUUACAACUCUUGAUUAACAAGCUUAUUACAUUGUUUUUCUAGCGGAAACACACGCGAGUCUUUAUCAGAGUCGAUGUAGCGCGACAGCGGUGAAGGCUCCUCCUUCACGGACAAUCAUCAGAGUCGGCGUAGUUUAUCAGCGGGCGCAGCCUUCAUCUCUGAACCAAACUUGAGCGCAGGAACGAGACCACCUAAUCCUUCUAUUCUCCGUAGUUAUCGUCAUAGAUCACGUUCAAAACCUGCUAAACAAUUUUCAGUACGAUUUGUACUGGCCACUGGCUCCCACCCUAUGCUUUUGCGUAAGCUUUGUGGUAAGUGGAAUGCAAAAGGGUAGAUCAAGAGGCCUAUAUAUGGUUGUAGUUUUUCCUAUGCAAGUUCAUCAAUAUUUUAAUAAAAAUAAUUCAUCAAGUUUUAAUCCAUCUCAACCACACGUCCAUCCAUCCAUCCCAUCACACGCAUCUCACCACACUCUCACUCUCUAGGCGGCAAGUACGACUCCCGCUCGUGCCUUGCCUCAACGGCCAACGCCGGAUCCAACACAAACCCAGGGGAAGGUAGAAAGGACUCCUCUCACUAGUCAAGCGAAGCGGAACAUAGGAAAGGUCCAUAGCCGAGAAGACGGCAUAUGUAUCGAUCGAUCAACCAAACUCUGCAGAGGUUUACACUAACCACAAGAUCACCAUCAUCGACGAACCGGCUCGUCUAGGCUGAUACCGGGCUGCCUUCCAACUAAAUACGAUGCCACCCU